CAUCUGGUUGUUGAUGCCCAC
rnacentral:siRNA from 1 species